rnacentral:rRNA from 1 species
GACGGAGGGUGCAAGCGUUGCUCGGAAUCAUUGGGCGUAAAGGGUGCGUAGGCGGCUUCUUAAGUCUGACGUGAAAGCCCAGGGCUUAGCCUUGGAAGGGCGCCAGAAACUGAGAGGCUCGAGUGCCGGAGGGGAGAGUGGAAUUCCUGGUGUAGCGGUGAAAUGCGUAGAUAUCGAGAGGAACACCUGCGGCGAAGGCGGGUUGCUGGGCUGACACUGACGCUGAGGCGCGAAAGCCAGGGGAGCGAACGGG